rnacentral:rRNA from 1 species
AGUGAACGCUGGCGGUAGGCCUAACACAUGCAAGUCGAACGGCAGCACAGUAAGAGCUUGCUCUUACGGGUGGCGAGUGGCGGACGGGUGAGGAAUACAUCGGAAUCUACUUUUUCGUGGGGGAUAACGUAGGGAAACUUACGCUAAUACCGCAUACGACCUACGGGUGAAAGCAGGGGAUCUUCGGACCUUGCGCGAUUGAAUGAGCCGAUGUCGGAUUAGCUAGUUGGCGGGGUAAAGGCCCACCAAGGCGACGAUCCGUAGCUGGUCUGAGGGGAUGAUCAGCCACACUGGAACUGAGACACGGUCCAGACUCCUACGGGAGGCAGCAGUGGGGAAUAUUGGACAAUGGGCGCAAGCCUGAUCCAGCAAUACCGCGUGGGCGAAGAAGGCCUUCGGGUUGUAAAGCCCUUUUGUUGGGAAAGAAAAGCAGCAGGUUAAUACCCCGCUGUUCUGGCGGUACCCAAAGAAUAAGCACCGGCUAACUUCGUG